rnacentral:misc_RNA from 1 species
GGAAACCAUUGCUUAUGCGCUUACGACAAACAAUUCCGUAACGUCUUUAGACUUAUCCGGAAAUAAUAUUGGCCAUAAAGGUCUCCUAGAUGUACUGCGCAUGCUUGAUGAAAAUACCAGCAUCACAUAUCUUAAUAUUUCACACAAUAAGCUGGGUUCCAAAGCUGUGCUUAUUCUUCGUGAUCUAAUCUCUAGUACCAAGAAAAUUUUAACGCUGGAGGCUGCUGGUAACGACUUUAACGAUAAAGAUGCGGAGCAGAUAGCUGAUGGAAUCAGACAGACCAACACCCUGAGGUCAUUGAAUCUAAGUCAGAACGCCUUCCAGGAGCGAGGGGGAGAGGACAUAGCAGGUGCUCUGGAGGAAAAUAUGUCACUAAAGGAGCUCAACUUAAGCUGGAACCACUUACGACUGGACGGAGCAAUAGCAGUGGGGGCGGCUUUGUCGACGAAUUCCACGCUUCAAGCCCUGUAUCUGGCAUGGAACGGUUUCUCUAACUGUGGAUGUCGGGAGAUAGGCACUGCCCUACAGACCAACAGUACACUGGAGCUCCUGGACCUCAGCAACAAUAGGGUCGGACUGGAGGGGGCCAAGUGGCUCGCCAAGGGACUCAUGCUCAACACAAAACUCAGGCAUCUCAUGCUGAAUAUGAAUUCACUGACCACGCUUGGAGCAAAGACGAUAUUACUUGCUAUCCGUGAUAACCCAGAAAGUGCAAUAGACACACUUGAGUUGAAGGAAAUUCCUGUGUUAGAAGAGGCAAUUGGCAUCAUAGACGAAUUAAAAUCUUGCCGGAAACGAUUCGUGGUGGUUCAUGACGUCACGGUGCUUUCGGAGGAUUUCCUCAGUUGUGUUGACUGUCCAGUGAAGCCUCAAAAACAGAAAGCUCACAAAAAAUCCACCAAAUCCAAAAAGAAAAGCUGAGAUUUAGCCAUAGAUAAUUUGUGUAGUUGCUCAAGUACGAAGAUAUGAAAUGGUUUUCAAAGAAACUCAGAUUUUUAUAGCAGUGCAAUACGUUUGUGUAAUUUGAAACAAAGGAUCAUAACUUGUCGGAAUAAUGUUAAAUAUUUGGGGAUAAGGAGUCCAAACAAAUAACGUUAACUGCUGAAGGGCCGCAUUAUACACCUUAUAUUUUUUUUUAAAAUCGACCCCGAAUAAACUUACUUUCAAAGUAUACCUAUUUCACUAUUUAGUCACAUUGAGAAUGAAGUAUGCAGUAAACCCGCCUAGUUUUGUCGGGGAUUUGUAUAAUGCUGUUUACAAAACGUGUUCUUCCUCUCGUUUCAUGGUUUAUAAAUGACAUUGAUAUGUGCAAUUCUAAGCCAAUAAAUGUAUUGAAAUGGUA